GGAUAGAAGAAGAUGGCGGACGCCAAGACACAAAAUUCAUGCUCCACAUGCUUGGACCUUGACCUCAAAUCAAAGCAUUUUUCGUAGUAGUAGUCUCAUGUAGGAAUGACCUUCCUACAAUAGAACUGAGCAUAAUGAUUUUCUGGAUCCUUUGGUACUGGUAAUAAUGACUUCUAUCUAGCUAUUGUUUCUUCGUGAAACCAAUGUUGCUAACAAAGAUGGUUUACCAUGAUUACUGAUAUAAAAUUAAUACUGGUGGUGGAAAAUGCAAAAAUCUAGGAAGAAACGGUAUGGAUUUUUUUUUUUUUUAAAUAAAUCCAAUUUUUUUUAAUGGCCAGAGAGAGUUCUAUAUUACAACGGUUCUUUUAACUGUAUCGCUAAUUUCAUUUUUUUGUUGACAUUGUUGUAAGAGGCAGCCAUGAUAUGAUUGGACAUGAGUGAAUAUGUGGAGCGGCAAAGAAAGUAGUUGGCAAGAUUAAAGUGGAAGUGAAAAAGGUCCGGAUCAUUCCACGACGGAAGCUUCAGAGCACAUACUCGCAGAGAAGUGCGGCAUAUAUGGAAGUUGGUGUAGAAUAUGUUCGGCACGUUUCAACAUUGCUGAAAACAGGCAUCAAUUCAUUAAAAAUCAGCUCAUUUGCGGUGACUUCAGAAGGUCACAUAAUUUUGGUUCCAUACCUUUUGUUGGUUGUGUUCAAAUACAAUGCUCAAGUUGGGAAUUUGUACAGUUCACUUGGUUUUUUUGUUGAAUUUGGAUGAGAUGACAAUCAGGUGCAACAAAUUCAAAAAAUAACAAAUAUAACACCUUUUUU